rnacentral:lncRNA from 1 species
UUGGGUAUUUUAAACGCAAACAGAAAAAUCCUCAAGCGCACGGAUACCGAUGUAGCUUUCACCCGGGAGUAUUCAAGAGUAUCGAAUUUCCACAGGGAACAUGAGUGUACUAAUUAAGAUUCAAGAUCUCCCAAGGAUAACUAUAUAAUUAUUUUUGGUGGGAAGAGAGGAAGUUUCCUGAGAGUUCUCUAGUUGAUCUAAGAAUCAAGAAUUACUUCAAGAUUAUCUAUAUCGGGAUAUCAGAGCACUAACCACAGAAAGAGAUGAGAAGGGGGCUAGGAAGGUCUGACUAGUGUCCUAAAAGACCGAUCCGAACGAGGUGGAAUACGUCGACCGUUAGGGUUGUCACUACCCUAAGGCUACCACAAUAAUCCACAGGAUUGGGUGCAAUUCCAGGUAAUUGCAAGACUAAACACCACGUAUAAUCUAUUAAUUACUACUCUAGCGUUAUAAAGACUAGAGCACUUGAUGCAAGCGGGAAUCCAAUAAAUAACUUGAAUGUAAAUAAAAGUAAUUAAAGAACUCAGGAAUUAUGAAUUGAAGAACCUGGAGAACGAUGAAGAACGAACCAGUUGCUGCAAAAGUAUAAUGUUGAGGAAGAUCCGACAGAUCCGGCUCCUCCUCCUCUGCUCUCCUCUUCUCUCUCCCUAUUUUCUAGAUUACAACUAGAACUAACUAGAACUAGAACUAGAGGAACUAGAACUAGAACUAGAUAAACUAGAACUAGAACUAGAUGAACUAGAGGUAGAACUAGAAGAACUAGAGGGAUCCUCUCUACUUGGAUGAAGAAUUGAAACCCUAACUUUGAUUCUGUAGAAGAGGUAUGAUCUCCAGGGGCCAGGGGGCCUUGCUUAUAUACUCUUUUCAGAUGAAUCUAGGCCAUCGGAUCAAACCGACAUUAAUCGUGUGGUUUUCCUCGAAGUAUUAGGUCGUCGCUGAGCAAAGAUGGACUCAAGAGUUUCUGCAGUGGUUUUAUGCCUUAAAGAUACACAUGCGUUCAAACAUGAUCUCAUCUCUGGGUUAGGGUAAACUGUUAAGAUUUAAACUUACUCAUUUUUCCUUCCACCAUGGGGCUUGCAACCGUCACUUGUGUCUUGAGCAGUUAAAAGAUAGAACGGUCUAAUCAAGCGCCAUGUCUCAUGUUCUUGAUCAACUAUAGCUCUGGAGUUUUUGCAGAUUUUCAAAUAAAACUCAGAGAUUCCUUGUAUGACUCUCUCUAGUCUCUCUUUUGUGGUAUUUCUGGAUCCUUACCAAGGCAAUAAUGGUAUAUGCCUUCUCUCAAAGUAUGUGGUAUUUGUGGUAUAAGGCAUAGUGGCAUUGCCUUCUCUCUCACCCUACUCUAAUAAGGUUUUGAUAUUUGGAGCUCAUAGGUGGGAGACAGCUAAUACAUACUUACAAGACAUUUAUUGCAUAGUCAAACCAUGGAUCCAGAAGAACAAGUCAAUAAAUCAAAUCAAGAUGUGCAUGUGUGGCGAAUGAAUGGUGAUAACAAUGGUGAACGUCUAAUUCUACUUGUGCUCUUUUGAGAGGAUACAUACCUUUCUUGCUCUUUUGAAUCUUUUUAAGGAGAAUGAGAUGCUCUAUAUUUUCUUUUUCUUUUCUCUAUUGUCGAACACUUGUCCAUUUUUACCUCUCGUCUCACUUUUUCUUUUCUUUCGAGGUUCCAGGCACUUGCCCCUUUUUAUUUCCUUGUAUUCAUUCUUUUUUUUUCUCUUUUUUUAGAGCACUCAUCUCCUGAAAUAAUAUAGCAAGUGGUAGUAACCAAGAUAACUUGAGCAUUUAUUUCACAGGGAAAAACAUAAAUGUUUUUGGCUAUUCUCUCCCGGAUUAGGAGUAGAAUAUUUUUAGGUGAUUCUGGAGAUGGAAAUGGGUGGAUAUAUGUGGAUGCGUACUUCCGGAGUAGAAGCAGCAUGUGUGAGUGAACGUGCAAGUGAAUCUUGACUUAACCACAUGACAAGCUCCUAAGGGUCUACACAGCUUGACCACACUCAAUGCUCAUAAGCAGUAAAAAGUAAAUGUGUGGCUCAAAGUCUAGCAAGCAUGUAUAUAUGGCUGUGGUAGGAAUUUAAACUCUCAUCAUACAGGAACUCAUCAUGCAAUAUUUUCAAGAUUUUUAAAGAUAAAAUUCUCUAGAAUUCUAGCAUCUCUAGGAAUAGAUAAACAGCAGCUCAACCUUCCCAUAUCGUAUCCGUUAACGACUUAGACUUUAGAUCAAGUACUCUCCCCACAAGUUCAGGUUUAGAGCAAAUCUUAAUUAAUACCAGUCAUGCCUAAACUUGAGAGAGAUUUCAAUUUUAAGAACUAGUCAUGGCAGAGCAACUAUUUAUCAUUUCCAUGUGAGAACUUAUUGACUUGUUAUUUAUCAUGAGGGAUCAUAGCAAACUUUAUUUGUUUAUUUAUUUAGCAAACUAAGCAAAUAUAUAUAAGCCCAAAAUCUUUAUUUGGGUUUUUAUGAUUAUGCAUAUUUUUAUUAUUUGAGUAAAGUAUAAACGUGAGUAGAACACUUAGCUGGAUAAAUGGGGUUGCUCUCUCCCAAGCUGGGUUUUGACGUAAUUCCUUCUGAUGUAGCUAGCAGGUGGUGGAUGUGUAUUUGAAUGUUGGCAGCACCCUGACAGCGAUUAGGAUGUCCUCAGUCUGCUAGUCUUCUUUGAUCCUUGAAUUUUGUGGAGCUCAAAUAGACAACAAAGCUUUGUGGAACUAGUUAAGUGUUAGCAUAAAUAUCUAGCUUUAUCAUGUUGAGCCUCCUCAAUAAAUUUUACACUCUUUGGUAGGAUCAUAAAUUUAUUUUUAUAGGAUAGGAAUAUAUUUAUUUUAUUUUUACGCCACCAUAGUGAAUGUACUUAUGGGUUUUAUGCCAUGAGCAUACUCACAUGGGGCUUACUAUUUUUUAACAUUUUUAUUUUCUUUUCAAGAUGAUAUGAACCUGAUUAACUAAGCAAACUAUUUUAAAUAAUUGAAGGGAAAAAGAUAACUACCAAGUUUACCUCUUAGCAAGGCGUUCGGUGUUUUUAAGUCCUCUGAACGGGACUCUCUAUUUUCUCAGUCGUCCAAGGAUUCACUGGAUGACAUAGUCGGUGGUUCUAAUAUAGAUGAUUGCUUUAACGGUGCUAAGGAACAGUCUUCCAAGGAUGACAGGUGGAUCGAAUUUGUCUUCUCCCAUGUCAAUAACCUUUCGGAAUGUCUGAUCUGCCAUCUAGAGCUGAAUGUAUGUUGGUUGUAGGGGCAUGGUUCCAUGCAGGAGCUGAUAAGUUACUGCGGCCAUUAUGUUGAUGUCAGAUCCGGUGUCGUAGAGUGUCUUCUAAAAAGAAUAUCCGUUGAUUGUGCACUCGAUGCUUGGAACACUAGGGUCAUCCUUAUUGAUCAAGAAAGGCGACUUGAGUUGAUGAUCUUGACCUCCUUGAAUUGCAGUCACCAUCUUAACUGACUCGGUCCACAUUUGCUUUUUUCUGUUCCUCCUGUUGGUCCUCUUCCUUGGUUCAUGUCAGGAUUGCUUUGAGAUUUGUGUGUCUUGUUCUUGAAGGAAAACAUCUCCUUCCGCCCCUUGAUGUAGAAACUGAUCUUGGCAGCACUAGCGUGGAUGACAGCUCCUGAGGUGUUCAGGAAUGACCUCUCUAGGAUGAUGCCCUCUCAUCAGUACCAGUCUCUACCACCACGAAGUCUGUUGGGGCGUACAAGGUACCAACUCGGACGCAGAGGUUCUUCAAUAUUCCCUUUGGGAAACUUAGUGUCUGAUCUGCAAGCUGGGCAUAAUGUUGACGCUGGAGCCAAAGUCGCAGAGUGCUUCUGGGAAGUUCACCAUGCCGAUGGAGAUCGGGAUGACGGUGCGUCCUGGAUUGUCUCUCUUGACUGGCAGAAGGUCAGUAAUUACUUCCACAAUGGGGUUACUCCAGUAGUUACGUCCUCAAGCAUCUCAGGGCAGUGAUUGCCUGAGUGUCCAUUAUCUCCAGUGUGUUUGUGCUCGUAGAUCUAGGUUCUUCACUUGGUGGAGUCUGGGAAUUGUAAAACUUCUUCAUAUUUUGCUCGAAGUGUACCUGCUCAUAGAAACAAGGCAGAGAUCAAGUGCAUGGGCCCUGUUGGUGGAAAACACCAACAGAACCAACAGUGUAUUUGUUCUUCUCUAACCUUAUGCAUAGUGAGCAAGACAAAGUUGAUGGAUAAUAAGAUCAUGAGUGUAGCAUUUAAAACAUUCGUCAGAUCAGAUCACUCAACCUAAUGGAAAGAUAAUCUAUCUAUACUUAUCUCUUUUUUUAUAUAUAUCUUCCAAAGAUUGUGU